GACAGAGGUGCCGAGCGUUAGGCGGAAUCACUGGGCUUAAAGCGUGUGUAGGCGGGUCGUUAAGUGCCUUGUGAAAUCCCACCGCUCACCGGUGGAACUGCUUGGCAUACUGGCGGUCUUGAGCCACUUAGGGGCAACCGGAACAAACGGUGGAGCGGUGAAAUGCGUAGAUAUCUGGAAGAACACCAAAGGCGAAGGCACCAUCCUGGGAAAUAUCUGACGCUCAGGUGCGAAAGCUAGGGGAGCGAACGGG
rnacentral:rRNA from 1 species